rnacentral:rRNA from 1 species
AGUGAACGCUGGCGGUAGGCCUAACACAUGCAAGUCGAACGGCAGCACAGUAAGAGCUUGCUCUUACGGGUGGCGAGUGGCGGACGGGUGAGGAAUACAUCGGAAUCUACUUUUUCGUGGGGGAUAACGUAGGGAAACUUACGCUAAUACCGCAUACGACCUACGGGUGAAAGCAGGGGAUCUUCGGACCUUGCGCGAUUGAAUGAGCCGAUGUCGGAUUAGCUAGUUGGCGGGGUAAAGGCCCACCAAGGCGACGAUCCGUAGCUGCUCUGAGAGGAUGAUCAGCCACCCUGGACCUGAGACCCGUUCCAGCCUCCUACGGGAGGCAGCAGUGGGGAAUAUUGGCCAAUGGGCGCAACCCUGAUCCAGCCAUACCGCGUGGGUGAAGAAGGCCUUCGGGUUGUAAAGCCCUUUUGUUGGGAAAGAAAAGCAGCAGGUUAAUACCCCGCUGUUCUGACGGUACCCAUAGAAUAAGCACCGGCUAACUUCGU